rnacentral:rRNA from 1 species
UACGGAGGGUGCAAGCGUUAUCCGGAUUCACUGGGUUUAAAGGGUGCGUAGGAGGGCAGGUAAGUCAGUGGUGAAAUCUCCAAGCUUAACUUGGAAACUGCCGUUGAUACUACCUGUCUUGAAUGUUGUGGAGGUGAGCGGAAUAUGUCAUGUAGCGGUGAAAUGCUUAGAUAUGACAUAGAACACCAAUUGCGAAGGCAGCUCACUACACAAUUAUUGACUCUGAGGCACGAAAGCGUGGGGAUCAAACAGG